rnacentral:rRNA from 1 species
UUAAAGGGUGCGUAGGCUGCACGGAAAGUUGGGUGUGAAAGCCCUCAGCUCAACUGAGGAAUUGCAUCCAAAACUGCCGUGCUUGAGGGAGACAGAGGUGAGCGGAACUCAAGGUGGAGCGGUGAAAUGCGUUGAUAUCUUGAGGAACACCGGUGGCGAAAGCGGCUCACUGGGUCUCUUCUGACGCUGAGGCACGAAAGCUAAGGUAGCAAACGGGAUUAGAUACCCCGGUAGUCUUAGCUGUAAACGAUGAGCACUUGAUUGGAGGGUCCUCCAUAGCCUUCCAGUCGUAGCGAAAGUGUUAAGUGCUCCGCCUGGGGAGUAUGGUCGCAAGGCUGAAACUCAAAGAAAUUGACGGGGGCUCACACAAGCGGUGGAGGAUGUGGCUUAAUUCGAGGCUACGCGAAGAACCUUAUCCUAGUCUUGACAUGUAUGGAUUAACCCUGUGAAAGCAGGGCCACGCCUUCGGGUGGAACAUACACAGGUGCUGCAUGGCUGUCGUCA